UACAGAGGUCUCAAGCGUUGUUCGGAUUCAUUGGGCGUAAAGGGUGCGUAGGUGGCGCGGUAAGUCGGGUGUGAAAUUUCGGAGCUUAACUCCGAAACUGCAUUCGAUACUGCCGUGCUUGAGGACUGGAGAGGAGACUGGAAUUUACGGUGUAGCGGUGAAAUGCGUAGAUAUCGUAAGGAAGACCAGUGGCGAAGGCGGGUCUCUGGACAGGUCCUGACGCUGAGGCACGAAGGUCAGGGGAGCAAACGGG
rnacentral:rRNA from 1 species